UUUCUAGGAGCAAUACAAAGUUCAGACACGUUCUGAGGUUGAGUUUUGGUGACUUUAGCAGAAAGUCAGAAGAAAGCUGACAAUUUCCUUUUCUUCAGUGAUGUGCAUGGUUUCCAGGCCUUUCUCUGGACCUAUGAUUCACUGCCAUGGAGUGGAACUUUAACACCCCUAGACUGUGGAAGCUCAUCCAGCUUUCAACAGUAUCACCUAGAGGCAAUGAAAAGCAAUCAGAAUCACAGACCAACCUCAUGCCAAGAGAAUCUUCAUUCAGUUGUGGUCUGCUUUGUACUGCUUGAGCAUUUGGGGUUUGAAAAAUUAAGGAAAAGAAUAGGGGGAAGCCCCAAGAUGAAAAUACUGGUUUUCUUGCCAAUGUUUUAAAAGCAGCUCAAGACUUAAAUUUGAGUUGAAAAUUUCUUAUAGCAAAUGUGACUUUUGGGCUUCUAAAAACAAGUCAUCCUGGUUAUGCCUGGUUGUUGAAAGUCUGCAUAAUUAUGUUAUCUUAUGGACAUGUUUGUAUCUCUUCAAAAUUCAUAUGUUGAAGCCCUAACUCAGUGUAACUAUAUUUGGAGAUAGGGACUUAAUGAAAUAACGAAAGUUAAAUGAGGUCAUAAGAAUGGGGCCCUGAUUCAAUAGGAUUAGUGUCCUUUUAAGAAGAGAUAAAAGAGAGAGCUUUCCACCCUGUCAUCCCCCUUCCAGCUCCCAUGCAGAGCAUGCACAACAGAAGAGAUCAUGGGAGCACAGAGAGAGAGGGUGGCUGUCUACUUGUCAAGAAAAG
rnacentral:lncRNA from 10 species